GUUGUUUUUUUUCUGAAAUUUAUUUUCUUCUCACCAUUGAAAAGAUGAAGAAAACUAAUUUCUGACUGUUUUGGGAUUGUCAGAAUUUGCCUUCAAGGAUAAAUCUUCAAGUUUUACUCAUAGGCCAGUGUUGCUUUCCGUACAUCCCAUGCCCCCGCAAGACGCCUACUACAACAGUCCAGGAAUACUCUGGCAUACGUCCUGUUGACUGGCCUGUGCUUCUUUCUGAAGAUAGAUCUUUGGUAUGAAAACAGAUGCCUGGUUUUCUUCUUUUACAGGAUGCUUUAGCAACAGAGACAGAUGCUGGCGGUAUGGCAGUAGAGGUCGAACCUUCCCACCAAUAUCCUGUUACAUUUUGUUGCCACGUGACUGAUGACAGCAGUGGGGCAACCUGACAAUAUGACGUCAGGCGUAGAAUUGCGUAUGAAACAAAGGAAUUGAAUUCUUCCAAGUGGAAAAAAAUACACUCAUUAACAUUCACUAACACUUGAUGAACAGUGUUAGAGAGUGAAGAGUGGUUGUGAGCACUGUAAGGUGGUAAGUAAGUGAUGCAUUUCAGCAUUGGCGACAGCGAUGUGAAAGACAAGGUGUUCUGGAUGGUCAUGCACAGCUGUCACACUACAAAAUGAAGAGUAUCUCGGUCAGUUCAUCCAUGUGAAUCACCAGAUUAUGACCAGGGAGCUUUGUGUGGAGCUUCAAUGUGUUGGAAAUGAAGGUGGCAACGUUGGAAUAUCCCACAGUUUUUGCCAGAUGUACAAAACAAACUGGGAAACCUACUAUUAAGUUGUGCUACCAUGAAACAGUUCAGAAAUAAGGAAGAUGAUUUCUGAGAACCAAGGAAUUGCUAAAGACUCCUAUUUCAUUACAGAGUGUAAAGCUGUGGACAUUCAGUGCUUUUAUUUUAAUUUCCACUCUGAUAAGUGAAUCAGAGUUGUGAUGUGACAGUAACUGAUGGACAAUGAUCAUUCAGCCAAAUGCAAAUACUAGAAUUUUUAAAUGAUUGCCCUCACACCGCAUUGAAAGACUCAUCUCCUGGAUCAUAUUCCCUCCCACAAUACAACAUAUCCUUCAUUUCAUGUCUCUGAAGCGCAAGCAGACUGAGAAAAUGAUGAGCUCUACUUCUCAGGAAAAAUGAAAUCAACUAAAAAGAGGUUACAAAACAGCAGUCAUUAAUCCAAUAGACCAGCAGACAUACUUCACGAUCUUCAGCAACUGCUGUGUGGAGCGGAGGUUUGACACAAAAGAAAUUUAUCAGUUAUGAAAUACAUUAUUUAGUAUCUAAACACGUUGGUGCAGCUUUUGAUGACUGUGACGGUCUUACUUGUUUUUCAGAUAAUUUUGCCAUAACUUAUUUGCAUCUCUGAGCAAUAGUGUAGGUUACAUAUUUUAUGGUUGAACCUAGCAUUGCAUUUACUUACAACUACAGAGACUCUUCCAUCUAUUAAUUCUGAUCAACUCUAAGCUCAAGAACUGACCGAGCUAGUAUUGAUAAGGCAUGGUUUCAGAGUAGUUGUUCUGCAUAGGUUCUUUAUUUUAUACUGAGGCUUAUUUCUUUCCUUUUGUGUUCUUUAUAAUGCAGACCUUCCUUUAUGUCAGACAAUUGAAUUGAGCAUUCAUUUGGGAAAAUGAAAAGAUGGACUUCAUUGUGAGGAUAGGAUCAGUGAUGGAGCAAGUUAUGAGGAUGAGGUGCAGCUGACGGGGAUAUCCAUAGAGCCAACAAGUUAUUGUGUUACUACAUUUGCACCAGUGGAAGCUUUUUAAACAAAGAA
ensembl:lncRNA